UGGAAGUAAAAGUCGUAACAAGGUUUCCGUAGGUGAACCUGCGGAAGGAUCAUUAAUAAAUGGUCUACGUUUUUUAAGUAGACGCUUAAUAAUCCUACCCUCUGUGAAUUUGUUUGUUUGAAAUAAUUUUUUUAAAAUUAUUGAAUGUCUUUCCCUGUUGAAUUGGUUGUCUUUAAUGGCAAGUGAUUCGCAGGGGAGUGUCAAUAAUUUUUAAAAAGACCUUUUUUAAAAUUAAACUUUUUGUAUUCAUUUGUCUAAAAAUUAUUUUUAUAAUAUAAAAACAACUUUUGACAAUGGAUCUCUUGGUUCUCGCAACGAUGAAGAACGCAGCAAAAUGCGAUAAGUAGUGUGAAUUGCAGAAUACGUGAAUCAUCGAAUCUUCGAACGCAUAUUGCACUUUUUUAGUUUACUAAAAAAGUAUGUCUGUUUGAGUAUCAGUAAAAUAUUCUCAUAAAAACUUUUUGUUUUUAUGGUUAUGAGUGUUUUACAACGAUACAAGUUGUUUCACUUUAAAUUUUUUUAAAAUUUGAAUUUUUCUAAUUUUAAAAUAAAAUUGGAUAAAAUUUUCCCGUAAAAGGAAUAACCUAAACAAUUUUAAUUUUUGAUUAGAAUUCUUCAUUCUAAAGGAAAAUUUAACUAAAUAACUUGAUCUCAAAUCAGAUAAGAGUACCCGCUGAACUUAAGCAUAUCAAUAAGCGGAGGAAAAGAAACUAACAAGGAUUCCCUUAGUAACGGCGAGUGAAGCGGGAAGAGCUCAAAUUUGAAAUCUUCAAGGUUUUACCUUGACGAAUUGUAGUUUAAAGAAGUGUUUUCUGUUGAAGUUUUGGUAAAAGUUCUUUGGAAUAGGACAUCAUAGAGGGUGAGAAUCCCGUAUUUGACCAUUAUUUUCAGCUGUGUGAUACACUUUCAAAGAGUCGGAUUGUUUGGGAAUGCAGUCCAAAAUGGGUGGUAAAUUUCAUCUAAAGCUAAAUAUUGGCGAGAGACCGAUAGCGAACAAGUACCGUGAGGGAAAGAUGAAAAGAACUUUGAAAAGAGAGUUAAACAGUACGUGAAAUUGUCAAAAGGGAAGCGUUUGACACCAGUGUUGUUUUCUCGAAAAUCAAUUAAAAAGAGUUGGAUUUUGUGUUGUAUUGACCUUAACAGCUUGCUUCACUCUUUUCCAGCUUUUUUUAAUGCACUUUUCGUUUAACAAGUCAACAUCAGUUUCUUUUGUUGUAAAAGGGUCAUUGGAAGGUGGCUUUCUCUUCGGAGAAAGUGUUUAUAGCCUUUGAUCUCUGCAAUCGGAGAGACUGAGGUCUGCAGCGUGAUCCUUCGGGUUAGAUACAUUUGUGCUAAGCUACAGCUUUUCAUAGACAACUUGUUGACUAUGUUUAGUCUUGUGACUUACCCGCUUAUGCUAUUUUACCUA
rnacentral:misc_RNA from 1 species